GUGACAUCCUAACUCUCACUGCAGCCGCCGCAACAUCAAUAAAAGGAGCUUCAACACUUAAGGCAAGGACAGGAAUAUGCGAGAACAGAUUAAAUGGAAGUGCACCAGUGCUACCCAUCGAGGAAAACACACAACUUGAUUUCGACUUCGACAAAUGUAGAUCAAUGCUUGCCCGUGGCACUCAGCUCCACGUUCAAACACCAGAUGGAAAUUUUGGAGUAAGAUCAGUGUCUAUCAUCCUAAACAGCCAAUCGAAGGUUAUACUAAAGAUAAGAAAGCUCAAUUUGUUGAAAUCCAAGAAGGAAAGUAUUGUACUGGAUGUGCAUGCUGAGUUGUAUAAAGAUUCAGAAGGUGAUGAUGAAGAUGAUACAUGCUAUCUUAUCGCAUUAACAACUAAUCAAGGGAUAAUCAAGCUAGACAUGGGUGACGAUUA
rnacentral:misc_RNA from 1 species